AACGAACGCUGGCGGCAUGCCUAACACAUGCAAGUCGAACGAGACCUUCGGGUCUAGUGGCGCACGGGUGCGUAACGCGUGGGAACCUGCCCUUAGGUUCGGAAUAACUCCCCGAAAGGGGUGCUAAUACCGGAUAAUGUCUUCGGACCAAAGAUUUAUCGCCUUUGGAUGGGCACGCGUUGGAUUAGCUAGUUGGUAGGGUAAAAGCCUACCAAGGCGACGAUCCAUAGCUGGUCUGAGAGGAUGAUCAGCCACACUGGGACUGGGACACGGCCCAGACUCCUACGGGAGGCAGCAGUGGGUAAUAUUGGACUAUGGGCGAAAGCCUGAUCCAGCAAUGCCGCGUGAGUGAUGAAGGCGUUAGGGUUGUAAAGCUCUUUUACCCGGGAUGAUAAUGACAGUACCGGGAGAAUAAGCACCGGCUAACUCCGUG
rnacentral:rRNA from 1 species